CCUACGGGUGGCAGCAGUGAGGAAUAUUGGUCAAUGGGCGCAAGCCUGAACCAGCCAAGUCGCGUGAGGGAAGACGGUACUACGGGUUGUAAACCUCUUUUGCCGGGGAGCAAGCGCGAGCACGUGUGCCCAGGAGGAGAGUACCCGGAGCAAACGCAUCGGCUAACACCGUGCCAGCAGCCGGGGUAAUACGGAGGAUGCAAGUGUUCUCCGGGGUUAGUGGGUUUAAAGGGUGCGCAGGCGCGCGGUUAAGCAGGCGGUAAAAAUCAAGGGCUCAACCCUGUCGAGCCGUCGAAAAUGGCAGUCUGGAGGGGGCGAGAAGUAUGCGGAAUGCGUGGUGUAGCGGUGAAAUGCAUAGAUAUCACGCAGAACGCCGAUUGCGAAGGCAGCAUACCGGCGCCCAACUGACGCUGAGGCACGAAAGCGUGGGGAUCGAACAGGAUUAGAUACCCUUGUAGUC
rnacentral:rRNA from 1 species